ensembl:lncRNA
GAAGCCCCAGUCCAGGCCAGCCACAUAAAUGGAGACAGAGAAGCCCAAAGGAGAAAAAUUUGUGCCCAAGGUCAAGCAGUAGCAAAGCCAACACUAAAUUCUACAUUUCCUGACUUGCAUUUCAGUGCUUUUUCCAACCUGGAAACAGACCAUUCAGUCAACAACUCACCUCCAGUGCCUUUUCCUAAAGCAUUUACAGUCAGAAGAACAAAUUCAAAUACCCCAGAAAAUCAAGAAGUCAUGACAAUUAAAGAGCCCUGUACCAGAACACCCUGUCUCCACUGCCUGCAAAGCUCACCGCUCUCUUCUCCACCCACAACUCCCAUACUCCUUUGAAGCAGCAGCUGAGCCACCACAACCUCGAGCCUCUCUCCUAAUCACAGCAUCACGCAGACAAGGCUUCAGGGGAACCAUGACAAUUAGAAUAUUUACUGAUUGCAGCACUUACAAAAUUUGAAAUAUUCGAAUAAAAAUUUUCCACAAAACUUUGGCUCCUGUUUACUUAUGUUUAAGCCUAAAGCUCCUAGCACAGUGCCUGGAAACGAAUAGCUAGAAAAAAAUGCUUGUUUAUGUGUCAAGAAAAAAAUGUUUACUAGGCUCUUGCAUAAGCAUCCUCAGGGAUUCCUCUUCAAUUCUAAAGCUCACACAAGCUCAAAAAUGCUUAAAUGGAUGUUGAAUUCGUGUUUCAUUGUGCCAAUCCCUUUUCAUGGUGAAAUUCCCAGAGCCUAAAAAGGCGUGGAUAGGUUCCCAAACCCUAUGUUUUAUCACUCACCUGCAUUAUCCUCUGUGUACUGUGAUGGCUUGGUGGGGAUGAAAUUGACAGAAAGAAAAAGAGGUAAUUGACUGAGUAAAAUUAUCACUAAAAAGUCAGCCUUGAGGACACACUGCAGCACACCUCUCUUAUUCACUGUUAGAGUAAAUUAAUCAUCUGAAGUUGUCUACAAGGCUCCAAAUAUUGCCCUGAAAUGACCAAACCUUCACUUUUAGCAUUCUUUGAAGGGC